rnacentral:misc_RNA from 1 species
GAACGCAACUUGCGCCCUCUGGUAUUCCGGAGGGCAUGCCUGUUUGAGUGUCGUGAACACCUCAACCCUCCAAUGUUUUUGCAUUGAAGGCGUUGGUAGUGAGCGCUGCCGGACUUUUGAGUCGGGCUCGCUUUAAAACCAUUAGCUGGAUCCAUUCUGACCUGGUUCUACUCGGCGUAAUAAGUUAUUAUCGUCGAGGACGCCUGGCCUUCUAGGCAGGCGGCCACAGUAAGGGUGUUUGAACCGCUUCCAAACACGUCUUGCUCUUGUAGCAAACACUUGAACCUCUGACCUCAAAUCAGGCAGGACUACCCGCUGAACUUA